rnacentral:lncRNA from 1 species
AAUGAUGGACUCUGAUUUCCACACCCCUUUCCUGUGAACUUGUCUCCAAUUUAGUCUGUCAAGGUCCCUUUCUUGUGAGUUAAUUUCUCCCUAGUGCUACUUCUCAGAUUGGCCAGUGACUCACAGAGUGGCACAAGUACAAAUCCAGCCUGCCUUGCAUCCAACACAGAUUCCAGGACCACUGAAACCAGCUGAGGCAUCCUGAAAGCCUAAGAUUGACCACACCAGAGGAACCAGACUGCCCUUCACAAGGAUGGAAAUUAUCUGGUUCCACCCCUGGAUAUGAUCAACCUUCAUAGACUGUGCAUUAUACAUGCCAUCUCUGCGACCUGCAAAGAUGAAAAGGGAAAGCAGGAGAUGGAAACUGGUCAGCAGCCUUCUGGUUUAUCAGCCACACUUACAAAGGUCAAAUGUGCAAAGCGUCAGAAGACAGUGGUUAGAGUGAGAUUCUACAUGCUCUCAAUGAAGAAUAAAGCAUGCAGGAAGAACCUUUCAAAAGGUUACAACCAGAGACCUGAAGGAAGCAAGGAAGAAAGCCACAUGGUUGUCAAAGAGAAGAGGAAAGGAGAUCACUAAGCUGGAUGACGUUUUCUGUUUCUUUGAAAACAGAGAAGAUGACAAGUUAGGGAGAGAUCAGAGGUCAUACUGUGAAGCACCUUUGGAUAAACGGCAGGGACUUUGGAUUUUCUUUUUGAAUAUAAGCAUAAUCCAUUGAAAGGUCUCAUGCAGGGAAGUGGCAAAACACUUUUAAAAUUUUUCAUCUUUUCUUUCUGAAGCAGAGUUCACUCUCCAUUUAUUUGUCUUCUUUGAUAUCUCUCAAUAGAAUGUUGCAGUUUUAGUAUUCUCCUAUUAAACAUUUGUUUAACUUUAAAAAAAAAAAAAAAA